GCUGGGAUGCUCUUGCGUGGUAGGUUUUCAAAUAAUUAUUAAAGAACGAGGAAAUGUUUGUCAUGUGAAAUAAGUGAGUAGUGCAGUUUCCAUUGUACUUGAAAAUAUCUUUUCAAAAGUGGAUCUAAGCAAAGUCUUAAAUGAAGAACAAUAGUCAAUACAUCGCCUUUGCUUCCUACGCAGAAAAACACUGCGUUGUCAAUAUAAAGUUGACUUUAGGUGUGUUCAUCGCUUAAUAAUUGGUACUUUGGAACCCAUGCAUCAGUGCAAGCACUUCACUUACAAUUGAUAUUAAGUACUUGAAAGUUCUAUAUUACAUAUACGAGGUAGAUAUAUACAUGUAAAAUUAUAGUACAGUAUAUAUUAACCUUUUUAAGAUAUUCCGGCAGAAUAUACGUUUCAAGUUUUUAGCUAAAUACACUGGCACUGCUCGCCUCGAUUACACAACAACUAAAUUAUUUAGCUGUAACUAAGUAAAACAAAUUUGGAAUAAACGAUACAUCGAUUUUAUUACAAAGCAAACGUUACAAAAUAAGACAGAAUCACUAUUCCGUUUGAUAACUCGCCUCGUUCGAGUCGUACGUACGGCGUAUAAUUUAAAACAUGGCACUUUUCUGCCAUGCAUGACGUCGCGGUAUUUGCAAAAUUAAAUAUGCCAUUCAUUUUCACGUGACGAAUAUUAUUCAACAACUAUAAUUAAACAUUAAAUAAUUUAAUACAGCAAUAUUCCAACAGUAAGUUUGAAAUAUCCUGACUUCAUGGAAUGUGGUGAAACAUCAAUCGUAUAUACUGGCAGCAAUGUGACAGUCAGGCUGCUGUAUAGUGCUGUAUGCAUAUGCAUGUGUUUCAAAUAUUCUUUGACUAUUUCAGUAUUCAGUAAUAACAGUAUUGAAAUGCUAUUCCCAACUAGGAUCCAUGCUCUUUUUCCCUUCAUGGGGACUUCGAACAGUUCGA